UGACGGGACCAGCCCACCUCAAGGAACAAAGAGCUCAGUAAGUCAGAGAAUCAGAGGACGAGGGGAUAAGCAUUUAACAGAGCGUCAAAAGGUGUCGCAUUCCUGGUAACUUGGUCUCUGAGCCAGCUCAGUCCAAAAUGGAAAAGAAAACCGAGAGGCCGAAUAAACGGGAGACUUCAACUCCAGAGAGAGCAGGAUGGCAACAGCCCGUCUCUCCUGCUGCGAUGGCUGCUGCCUACUCUGUCAACAAUCCUCCAGGCUACAGACCUACUGGACGCCCUCGUACAGGCCACGUCAAGGCCUGUCCACCAGUAUUGACCUAUUUGGUCAUCGGAGGUGGUCCCCCGCAGCUGAUGAACGUUGGAUACAGUGGACGAGCCCCACCCUGGAAAUCACAAAGCAAGGAGCCAAAACUCUGUAAUGUCCAUCUGUCCUCCAGUUCAACAACUCAUCUUCGACAAAGUUACCGAAAAGUGACCGGCCUUUGGAGACGAGCCUUUAAAAAGUUACAGAAAGCGUUUAAGGCCAUACUGCCUGGAGGGAAAUGGGAGACGCCUUAGGCAGGUUGGGCUACCUUCUCUAUCUAUCUAUCUAUCUAUCUAUCUAUCUAUCUAUCUAUCUAUCUAUCUAUCUAUCUAUCUAUCUAUCUAUCUAUCUAUCUAUCUAUCUAUCAUAUGAUGCCUUUUUUAUAGCACCUUUUUCUCUGUCUUCCUGUCUCUAAUUGUCAACUGAAAAUCGUAUAAUGAAAUUUAUUCUUUCAUGUCUUCUCAUUUGACAAAAUUACAACCCACUCAAACAAAAAAGACAAAGAAAGAUACAUACUUAUAUAGUUAUAUAUAUAGUUAUAUGCAAUGUGUAUAGUAUUAUAUAUUUAUCCACAGUUUUGUGUAUAACAAUAUACAUAUUCUUAGGGUAUAUAGUGCCUUUUGCAUUUAUCAAUAUUAUCUAGCACCUUUCAUGUCUGUCUGUCUAUCUGUAUAUUUAACUAUCUAGUAUAUGGUGCUAGUAACUUUGAAAAUGGUAAGAUAUUCUUUUUAUGCUUGUACACAUAGUGCCUUUUCUAUCUAUCAAUGCACUCAGAGAUUAUAUAAUGCUUUUCCUAUCUAUUAUAUAGUGCCUUUUUUAUAAGGUAAUUUUCUUUCUGUCUUCUCUAGUCAUUUUGGGUAAGUUAGGUUUAUUGUCAUGUGCAAACAGUACAAUGAAAUAAAAUAAUACACUGUAAAAUCAGAAAGAAAGAAAGUAUACUUAGCAUGCAACAUAUAUAGUUUUAUACAUAACAUAUACAUAAUAUAUACAUAACUAUGUAGUUAUAUACAAUAUAUACAAUAUGCAUUUGCAAGUUUGUUAUAAUUAUACACACUGUUAGGCUACAAUAUAUGAAUUCUUAAUAUAUAUAGUGCCUUUAAAAUAUUUAUUAUAUAGCACCUUUCACAUCUAUCCAUGUAGCUCUGUAGUAUAUAGUUCUAUUCAUAUCUAGAAUUAAGUAGCUUUGUGAAUCAUAAGAUAUUCUCUUUAAAGUUAUAUACAGGUAUGUACUGUAUCACAUGGUGCCUUUUCAAUCUAUGUACCUAUACACAGAUUAUACAGUUCCUUUCUUAUCUAUCUAUCUAUCUAUCUAUCUAUCUAUCUAUCUAUCUAUCUAUCUAUCUAUCUAUCUAUCUAUCUAUCUAUCUAUCUAUCUAUCUAUCUAUCUAUCUAUCUAUCUAUCUAUCUAUCUAUCUAUCUAUCUAUCUAUCUAUUCUUAAUUUCAGUGUAAAACUUGAAGCCUACAGAGAUGGUUGAAGGGUCCUUCCUACAGUGCAGGCUGACUCCUGAUACUCUACUGGUGUUACAACACUUCCCUCUGCUGCAUGACUUCAGCACUGCACAAAGAGAUUUGAACACGCAGUGGUCCCAAGAUGCAGGAUAUUCUAAAACUGCUUAAGCAAUAGCUGCUGGUCUUCCACAUGUCAUGCAUAGACACUGAGAGUUAUUAACAACUGACUGGAUAUCCAACCACAAGGCUGUAAUGUUAUUGAAGGGAAUCACGGAAACCAUAACUGUGGUCUUAGAUUAAAACCUUGACAAGACCUUUUAAAUGAAUCUGACUUUCAGUCCGUGUUGACUGAAGAGAGAUUUACCACUAAACUGCUGGCCUCCUAGACGUUAUGUAACAUCACAUUCUCAAACCUGCAUAAUCCAGUUCAGGGCUGGUGUGGGCAGGGGGCUCCUUUGAGAAUUAAUAAUGUAAAUUAGCUAUAACCACAUAUCCAUCCAUUUAUCUGACCAAGGAUUACUGAUCUGUAGUCCUCAGCAAAUGCAAGAAAGAUUGUAAAUGAACUUGCACUUUCAUUGUAUAUAUAUAAAUAUAUAAAUUCUUAUAAGAUAUGAUUUAGAAGACACUGCAUAUAUAUACUGUAAUAUUUUAUGAACUAUAUACAGUACAUUAUAAAAGUGUUUUAUAAUUAAAAUAAUUUACAUUUAUUCAUCUGUUGCCAAACUUGUUUAAUACAGUUCAGAGUCAUGGGAGCUGAAAGUCACAAGGCAUGAAGGGGGAUUCCAGUCCAUUACGGUGCACACUCACCAGCUCAGUUUAAUGCUGGCAACUUACCAAACUGUGCAAUGCUUUAGAAAAAAAAAGGAAUUGCACCCCACACAGACGAGGGGGAACAUGCAAAAUCUAUACAGGCAUUGACUGGGUUUGGAUUUGGAUUAAGUCUCCUUGAGCAUUCUGCUUGACUUGCAGAUAAAAUCACAUUUGCCUUUCUGCUUAGUGUAAUGCCUGUCCUGACAGCACGGAGUGCAAUAAAGGAUCCAAAGCUAAA